rnacentral:rRNA from 1 species
AUGGCCGCCGACGCCGCCUACGUGAAGCGGGUGCUGCUCGCCUGCAACGGCGGCGGCGACGCCGUCUCGCGGGGGGUCGCCGUCGGCCUAGCCAGGCACGGCUGCAGGCUGGUCCUGGUGGGCGACGAGGGCGCCCUGGCCGCGACGGCGGAGGAGGCGCGGCGCUGCGCGGCCGGAGGGGCGGCGGCCGUCGCGGUGGUUGGGCUGGACUUCGCGGCCUGCGACGAGGCGGCCGUCGGCGCCGCGGUGGAGGCGGCCUGGCGCUGCUUCGGGGACGGCGGACUCGACGCCCUGGUCAACUGCUGCUCCUACGAGGGGGAAGUGCAAGACUGCCUCAGCGUGACUGAAGAUGAGUACAACAAGACCAUGAAAGUCAAUGUAAUCACACCCUGGCUUCUGAUAAAGGCGAUCGCCAAGCGGUUCCGCGAUGCGCAGUCCGGCGGCUCUGUGGUAUGCUUGACCCAGAUCAUCGGCGCCGAGAGAGGAUUGUAUCCGGGGGCGGCGGCAUAUGGCACAAGUUUAGGCGCCGUUCACCAGCUCGUCAGACUAUCGGCGAUGGAGCUCGGCAAGCACAAGAUCAGGGUGAAUGCCGUCUGCCGCGGCCUCCACCUGGGGGACAAGUUCCCUGUCUCUGUUGGGGAGGAGAAGGCCGAGAAGGCGACCAGGGAGGUAAUGCCGCUGCGGCGGUGGCUGGACCCAGAGAAGGACCUCGCUUCCACGGUGCUGUACCUGGUCGGCGACGACUCCCGCUUCAUGACAGGCACCACCAUCUACGUCGACGGCGCACAGUCCAUAGUGCGCCCUCGCAUGCGUUCCUUCCUGUAG